GUGCUGGCUUUGCCAGCACAGACACUAAAACUGGACCGGUGCAGAGAUUAGCAUGGCCCCUGUACAAGGACAGCAUGCAAAUUUGUAGAGUGUUCUUUAUUUUU